CACCCACACGCAUGCGCGCACAAACACGCGCCGCGUUAGGUCUGGAAGAGGAGAAUCGAUUAGCCGCAGUGAAGCCUCUCUCCACCCCCUCUCUCCCCCUCUCGCUCUCUCUCCCUCUCCUCUAUCUUCCCUCCCUCCCUCUGGUGGAAACACAAAGGAAGAGACGCGUGUAUCGGCGGGAGGAAGGAGGCAGUCUUUGCGUGUCGUCCCGGUCCCUCGGUGCGGUUGCGGGGAGUUUAAUAUGAGUCUUGGUGGGGUCGCCCUUCCCCUUCCUGCCCGCCCAAUGGCCCGCUUGAUGAAUGGGAGGAGAGAGGGUGGAGGAGAGAGGAAGGAGGGUGGAGGACGCAGAAGCGGAAAUUAGUGGAGGCUUGUUCCCCGUUCUUGGCCCCAUGUUAUGCUCCCCGGCACUGAAGUCGGUACUGAUGCGGCGCCAACUUGGCGCUUCAAAGAAAGCACAAGGGAUACAAACGCAGGCCACAAUCCCGCUUUGUUUAUAAGUAUGUAUUGUCAAAGGAAAGCAACAGAGCUUGGGAGUCUGCAGGAAGUGUUUAAAGUGCUGACGGUGUUUCAGACACGUGACGCCUGGAAGCAAACAGGAAGUCCUUAACCUGCAUAAAAAACAACCUCUUGUAUUGCACCAAUUCACCAGGUCAAACUCCUCUGUGUGUAACAUAUGUGGCAAUAAAUGGCUUCCGAUUCUGAUUCUGAUUAAAAAUAAUCCC
ensembl:lncRNA